rnacentral:tRNA from 1 species
UCUCCUGUAGCUCAGUGGCUGAUUGUCCGCCCGGCGUGCGGGUGGUCAUAGGUUCGAGUCCUGUUGGGAGAA